rnacentral:lncRNA from 1 species
UGUCAUGCAAGAAGGAGGCGGCGGCGGCGGCCGGAGCUGGAGGGGGAGGAGGGGAGGAACCUGAUCCUCGGUAGCGAAGGGCUGGAGGCAAACACCGAGCUCCCCCUGAGCCGCCUGGGAGCAGGGAGGGUUCUGCUACCCUGAGGGGCCCUCCCCGCGGGGCAGAGGGGACCAGCCCAACAUGGCUUCCAACACAGAGACCAGAAGGACCCAAUAAGAGACCGAAGACACGACUGAUAAUACAGAAAGGAGGGUGAUGCUGUGUGCAAGGCAGAUACAAGAUGGUUUUUCCAUAAGAGGAAGUGAUCAUGGCAACCAUGACCUUCUCUGACCUUCUCUCUUCCAAGAGGCUGUUGGGAAGGUGGGAUGACCUAGGAUUGACCUUGGACUUGACAUCACAGAAGCCAUUUCAACCUUCACAGGUCAUUGCCCAGACUUUGAGCCAUUUUCUGGGCUCACCCUAAUAUCCACCCCUUGACUCUCUGUAAGUGACUGAACUCGUGACUGGCUCCGUGUUGAGAACGUGGGGGAUCAGAAUAAGGGUUUCCUCAGCAGUGCCCCGGAGCAGGGACCGCGCCAGCCAGCAGAAACAGCUAGUUGUUGUCUGCAGUGAAGAAUAAUUGGAAGCAUGGUGCCUGUUUCUUUUCCUGUGGGAGGAAGUCACAGCAUCUACUUCUGAAUCUGUGCUUGCCUUGAGGAAAAACGGCAUGGCACAGGAAUGUGGACGCUUUCAACCAGAGGAUUCUGUACGACGGUGUCGGCACACAGACUUUCCAUUUCAUAUUUUAAGCCGAAGGAUUGCUGAAACCUAAGGCAAGAGGAUACAGUUGUAUACAUGCAGGCAUACACACUCUCCCAGUUAGGACUGCUCUCAUGGAAAGCCUUGCUCCCAGCUGCCACCCUCAUUGUGAUUCCCUGGGACUUCACUGAUGCAGCUCCUUCGCUGCUGGACAGCUCCGCAUCGCCUACAAACCGGAGUGGCCUCUGAUGAUUCGCCCAUUUGCCAGGGUCUCAAAGAGUUAAAAGGAUGUUGAGAUUUUGGCAGCGAAAGGAGGGGAGUGUUCCACUGACUGACCUCUUUUUGUUUUCAAAUGAAGAGGAGCCAAGAAUAGGACAGCUUGGGAAGGUGAGCUGCGUAUAGCUCGUCAGGCUGAGGUCAUCCUCGUCUACGGCCAAACGUUGGUUUCUCAUUUCUAGAAGAUGAAAGAUGUGAUGACUCAGGAAAAAGUGGAAUCUUAGUAACUGUGGUGGGCAUUGAGCCUUGCCGUCCACAAGAGAAAGGCGUUCUCUCUGCUUACAGCUUGCUGCUCGAGAUGUGAGUCUUCAGAUGUUCCUGCCGCCAUAUCUGACAGCUGCUGCCAAGAUUCCCUGGUGGGAUGGACUCUUAUACCUCAACAACCAGAAGCCCAAGUAAACUCUUCUAUAAAUUGAAUGACUCAUGCUUAAAAAAAAAAACAAAAAACAAACUAUCUUUAU